AUGCCGUUUGAGAUUUACAACUGUUUGAAUGAAUCUCAAUAUUCAACUUCAUCUAUUCAACAAUUCUAUAUCACUAAGAAGGUAUAUAUGUAUAAAUUUGUCUCCUAAUAGAGCUAAUUUUUAUAUCCCUGUCUCCAGUUUAUGUAUAUGAAGUUUUCUCUGAGAUAUAUAACUUUGAAGGCUCCGCCAAGAUCAGCCACCCUGACACUUUUGAAAAAACACAAAAGUAUACACUUAGAAGAAUAACAUAUCGUUCGCAUUGACGAUGUCGCCGUGGAUUCUGGCAGCGUCCACAUUUUUGUUUCUGGCUCUUUUCCCCUUUCGCGAACUUUUUUCUUUCGUAAACCUCCUCCAUCGUCUCUAACUCAACGAGCCAUCCCGAUUUCCCAGCAUAUCUGCAUGUUGUCCGAGACCUUUGGAUCUAAUCGUAUUUAAUGGGAGAUGUACCAUGUUUUAUGUUGAUGUGCUUUGAGGUUCCCAUGGUGCAGUGUAGGAUUAUCUGAUAUUAGUAAUUAUCUCGAUAAACCAAGAUUGGCUGGAAUGAUUUCGCGCAUUGAGCCAUAUUUUGUGAUACUAUCUACAUCUCAUCAUGCCUUUGCCGCUAGCCCAUCAUGAGGUGAUAUCAGGUUAAUGACGUAUCAGACGGAAAACGAUCGAUUGAUGUGACGAGUAUGAAAGGUCAAUAACCAGGUGCCAGGAGUAACCAACUGUGGCUUGUAAAUAUGACGUC
rnacentral:sRNA from 1 species